AUUGAACGCUGGCGGCAGGCCUAACACAUGCAAGUCGAGCGGAUGAAGGGAGCUUGCUCCUGGAUUCAGCGGCGGACGGGUGAGUAAUGCCUAGGAAUCUGCCUGGUAGUGGGGGAUAACGUCCGGAAACGGGCGCUAAUACCGCAUACGUCCUGAGGGAGAAAGUGGGGGAUCUUCGGACCUCACGCUAUCAGAUGAGCCUAGGUCGGAUUAGCUAGUUGGUGGGGUAAAGGCCUACCAAGGCGACGAUCCGUAACUGGUCUGAGAGGAUGAUCAGUAACACUGGAACUGAGACACGGUCCAGACUCCUACGGGAGGAAGCAGUGGGGAAUAUUGGACAAUGGGCGAAAGCCUGAUCCAGCCAUGCCGCGUGUGUGAAGAAGGUCUUCGGAUUGUAAAGCACUUUAAGUUGGGAGGAAGGGCAGUAAGUUAAUACCUUGCUGUUUUGACGUUACCAACAGAAUAAGCACCGGCUAACUUCGUG
rnacentral:rRNA from 1 species